UUGGUGCCACCAGGAAACUGUCCGCUAGGGCUCGGCACUACUAAGGACCUCGCUAACAAUAAUCUGGCGGCGCUGGGACUCAGCAAGAACAGACACCCAGCGGAUUGCCCUGGUGAUACCAAACAUGUCCAUAAAUGGUGCUGCUAGAAAGAAACUGCGGGCUCUUAGAUAGGAGUCCUGUCUGGAGAAAUGAGCUGACUGUGUUUAAGUGUGUUGUGACAGAAAAAUGUGUUGUGGCAUCUUACUGUGUUUUAAGUCCUUUAAUAUGUUUUAACCCGUUGUAAUGUGUUGUGAGAGAAAAAGCCCCGGCUAACGGUACUAUGGAAUUACUAGAGAGCACAGCGGCUGGGUGCAGUCACCGGUCUGCACCGUAAAAAGGGGUUCAGGAAGUUCCUACGAGACAUUAGCGUUGCUAGGACCCAGAAAGAGACAGCACAGAGAAUUUACGGGCCCCGAGAACGUGAAACGACCUGUUGGGCGCUAAGAACGGUGCACCAACUGAGAAAACGCCCAGUGGGCGCUACUGGCAAAAGUGCUGACCCAAAACCGACAGCUCCGCAUAAGAAGCGGAGUCGCCAGACAGAACCCGGAAACUGGCAGCAGCAAGGCUGAGACCGCGAUCGGCUCCCCGCGUCCUGAGCAUGCAAGUCAAGGAGCACGAAGCUGAGACAUUUAAAAUCAGUAGAAAAAAAUACAUAACAUUUAAAUAGAAAUACAAUUUAAAAAUAAUAGAAGCCUAAAAUGCAAAUAGAAAUGAAAGGCAAGCACAUCGGUAAUGUCGUUCUCAGAGCAAGACACAAAAAGACAAUUAAAAAAUAAGCAAAAAUUACUGAGAACCAUUCCUACAAAGAAGAAACUACAAAUGUUUGUAAUGCAGUCCUACGACUAGGAUAUCCCUAUCCGAUCUAAACCGGUACAUGUUACACCUAAGUCUAAAUAUCCUACCAAAUUAAAUAAAUAAAUAAAUAACAGUCAUGGUUAAACCUGUUUAGCUUAGACUAUAAAAUGGUAGAAAAAAAAGUCGCUUUCGGCGGGACUUGCCGUUGUCAAACGAGGCUUGGCAAAACUGAAAAAUCGCGUUUGCCCGCAUUUCCUGAUUUCCAGGGGAGUUUAAAAAACACAAGCCUAGCUAAGGCGGGACCCGCUAUUGUGAAACCAAACUUAGUAUAAGAGCUCCCAGGCCCUGCUAAACUGGUCAUCGCCAAGCCAAAAAAAAAAAUCGCAUUCGCUGGUACCCAGAUUACAGGAGUUAAACGUCUCCUGCGCAGCUAAAGCAGAGCUUACUAGUAGGAAACCAGAACUUGCAAUGACUAAGAAACUUGAGGCAGAGCUAACCCGGGGUUGUUAGGAUUAGAGUUCCGAGGCUACAGGAAAACCGGAAUUGCUGAGAUCUGAGUCACAGGGUGACUCAGCCUCGUUACGAUGAAACAGUAACUUCCUACUACCUAGAAAUCGCAGCCAGGGCCAGACCGGUGUUUGUCCUAAGUCGGAACUUGCUUGGGCUAAGAAAUCAUAUUGUGACUAUUCCACGACUUGAACAAGGGGUAGAAAUCGCAGGCACCACGAAAUAGAAACUUGCUAGGACCAAGAAGCCAACGACGCCCGAAACCGUGGGGUCCUGUCACAGAAACCCCAGCAGCGCAGCCACCGGACUGGGUCUGGAGGCCGAGCCGGAGUCCGUGCGGCGGCGCUGGGAAGAGAUGGCGCCCCGGCAGCUCCCCUGCCACCGGCCCCGAGGAGCGGCUGGCUCCCCCAGCCCAGCGCCGCCGCCGCCCGGUAACUCCAGGCUCCGCGCAACUGGGGCAGCUGCGACUCCGAAUCCCUCACAUCUGCAACCUGGGCGCUGCGGCCACUGAGAAAAUGGAGGCGCAGACCGACGAGCUGUGCCGCGACCAAGACACCUCGGCUGGCGAAGUGGCGGUGCCGGGAGCCUGCGAGUGACGCCAGCCUCCGGGGUUGUCAAGGUCAACAUUCGUUUUGGCGCAGCCAAUGGCGCCGUCACCAGGAAACCAUCGACUCUGAGAAAAAACAGAGGUUCGGCCACGGAGAAACUCCGUACGACAAGGGCUGUGACAGAAAAACCGCCGACUCCGUGCCACUGGCAAAACAGCCAAUGGAAACCCCGGGCGUUGCGACCGUGACACCGGCACUAGAGGGUCUUGGAUGGAGAAAGCGGCGCACGGACACCAGGAAACUAUGUGUAGCACAACUAGCAGAAAACCGUCUGGUCGGCCAUCCGGGAGAAAGUGCGGAUCAGAAACAGGCGACUUCGUGCUGAGAAUUGCUUCAACCCAGGAGGCGGAGGUUGCAGUGAGCCAAGAUGGCACCACUGCACUCCAGGCUGGGCAACAGAGCAAGACUCCAUCUCAAACAAAACAAAACGACAUGAGAGAAAAACGUCAAUCUGUACACCUCUUUAUGACAGAACAACACAGAAAGAGAAAGACAAAGAAAAGACUACUCUAGGAGGAAAUGGAUGAAACAAUAUGAUUCUUACCACAAAGUACCAGAAAGUACACCAGAGUCAAUACACCAGCACCGGUCACACAAAUCCUUUUCUCCCAUCAGUCAAGAUUUUGGACAGGAAAAAUGAACAAAGAGUGAUAUUUACUGUCUACUUGACCAAAUUCCACAGAGAGGGGCUUGGAAUCUGACUGGCAUCCUCAUUAUCUUUGCAAUACAGAUUGAAUUAUUGGGGAUUCAGACAGCAGAGGAAAAAAGUUAAAGCAUGUAAGGAACAGAAACACACUCAGACAUGAAAAACUGUCCUGGUUUAAAAGGGUUCCUUUCCUUACAGGUGAGUAACAAUUGUCACUUCCUGACGGGACCAGGAACAUCAGGAUAUUUGGAGAAUCUUAACAAAAGAAGAAUUCAUCCAAAUCUCUAGGUAUUGCAGGUGAAGUAUGAUAGCAAGAUCCUGGUUUGGUUUCCUAGCAUCUGGACGCUUUUAAAAGUCUUUUGAGAUUCCUUAUGAAAAUGUCCAGGUAAGUCAACUUAAAGAGAGCCUACACUGCAGCAUAAGUUCCUAGUUAUCAUUGCUGAAGUAAAGUUAUCAUUGCUGAGAGUACCAUAUCAUCCUCUGGAGAAACUGAACUUCUAUAGAGUUAGUUCUACUUAUAGUGCAAAACAGUGCUUCAAGUUAGAGUCAGCAUAUUUACUGAUUCUAUGCAGUGACCAGUGCUAUGUUUCUCCAGAUUUGUCAAAUUAUACCUUUUCCUUUAAUCGGUGUGGGCUCAUAGUUGUCACAAUUUGUGUACUAGGGGUGAGAGAAACUGUAGUUCUUCUCUCUAAAGAGCUCGAAUUUUGUCUGACCUAGUUUUAUUUUUCUUUCUUUCCUUUUUUUGUUUUUUCGGUGUUUCUUUGUUACCCAGGCUGGAGUGCAAUGGCGCGAUCUCGGCUCACUGCAACAUCCACCUCCCCAGUUCAAGAGAGUCUCCCGCCUCAGCCUCCCAAGUAGCUGAGAUUACAGGCAUGCACCACCACGCCUGGCUAAUUUUGUAUUUUUUAGUAGACACAGGGUUUCUCCAUGUUGGUCAGGCUGGUCUCAAACUCCUGACCUCAGGUGAUCCACCUGCCUCAGCCUCCCAAAGUGCAGGGAUUACAGGUGUUAACCAUGGUGCCCGGCCCUGUCUAACCUACUUUUCAAAACCAAAAAGAUGAGCAAUAAGAGGGCAGUUAAUUAGCAAGAACUCCUUCCCUAAGAUCUCAUUCUAAGGUUGGGAGAUAGGACAACAGACAGGAAGAAAGAUGUCAGAAAAAUACAUUUAAGAGAAAAAUGUUCUUUUGGCAGGCCUAAGAGAUUUCCUAUUAGAGUGUGUUAAGGGUCUCUCCUAGCAUCUUCAGAUUGUUCUGUCAUCACCACCAGUGUUUUCUGAAAGCUUCCUCCCUUUCCCACCCCCUCCCUCCCACUCCAGAAAAACCACACAUAAGGUUAAGCCUCCUAUCCAGUGUCUCCUGGAAGUCUGAGGAAGUCACAGGUGCCUCUGUGGUCUGGGGAUCCCAGUCUUGGAAUGAGAGUGAGUUCUGGGACAAAGGUGAAAUCAGACAUGGUAAAUCAGAUACUUAGCCUGUUGUAGGCUGGUGGUUUAAAUGUUAGGAUUCUGGCAUGAUCUUGCUGUGGUUCAAAUUUCUCUCCUCUUUGACUUUGAGAAGUUAGUUUAAUCCUUGUGUUUCAUUUCCAUUGUUAGUAAAACCAGAUAUAAUUGCAGUACUCAUUAUAUCAGUGAGGUUAAUGGGUAUCCUUCCUUAAGCAUAGUCUAGCACCAUUUAAAAUAAUAAACAUUAACUAGGAUUUUAUUCUAAUUACUCCUUUCCAGCAAUUCUAGGGGCUAUGUUUUCCCCAGUAUUAGUUCUAUAGUGCGUGAAAGCUCAGACUUUCUUCUCUGGAAGCUACUUUCUAAACCCCUUUCACCCUACCUCUUUAUUAACUAAGAUAUCCACCUUACCCUUUCCAUCUUUUCCUGUCACCAACAUUCUCUGUGGCUGUAUCAUGUCCGGAAAAUAAUCAUCAGGCAUUUCACAGUAAAUUGUAAGAGCAUUGCUAGUGUUCACAUGUUUAAUCACGGGAUGAUACUUCUGCUAUCUCAUCCUCAAUUCUGAUACCUCCAGUUCGUGUUUGCUUAUGAAACAGGGACCACUUGAGGGACAGAUAAGUUUGUUACAUGUUGUAGGCACUGAUGUGCUUUUAUUUAAAUACAUUGAUUUUCUGGUUUUAUCGUUUUUCUCAUAGUUGUCACCAACUUGUGGGCUCAUAAUUGUUACCAACUUGUGAAGUAGGGGUGAGAGAAACUGUGGUACUUCUCUCUAAAUAGCUUGAAUUUUGUCUGACCUAGUUUUCAAAAGCAAAAAAAAUGAGCAAUAACAGUGCAGUUAAUUAGUAAGACCUCCUUACCUAAGAUCUCAUUCUAAGGUCUGGGAGAUAGGACAACAGACAGGAAGAGGGGUGUCAGAAAAAUACAUUUACGAGAGAAACGUUCGGCCAGGCACCAUGGCUCAUGUCUGUAAUCCCAGCACUUUGGGAGGCCAAGGCGGGUGGAUCACGAGGUCAAGAGAUCAAGAGCAUCUAAAAAUACAAAAUUAGCUUGGUGUGGUGGUGCGCACCUGUAAUCCCAGCUACUCUGGAGGCUAAGGCAGGAGAAUCACUUGAACCAGGGAGGCGGAGGUUGCAGUGAGCCAAGAUGGUGCCACUGCACUCCAGCCUGGUGACAGAGCAAGACUCCGUCUUAAGAAAGAGAGAGAGAGAGAGAAAUGUUCUUUUGGCAGGCCUAAGACCCUAAGGGAAUACAUGUUAAAAAAAAAAAUGGUGGGGGAUAAAGAGAAAAAUCAUUAAAGAUGAAAAAUUGCCAGAAAUUCCCUUGUGUACUUUUCCCCUUGCCUCUUACUUUCUGGUUUCUGAAACAAUAACUGAUCAAUGGGGUGUGCUGAGGGAGUAGAGAAAGAAUGAAUAGCCCUGAAUGCACUGAUAAUAGACUGCUUGCCAAUAACCACUGAUAGAGUUUGAAUACAAUUCUACAAUGGGAAAAAUAUUUUUAAACAUAUGUCUGAUGAAGGAUUGCUAUCCAGAAUAAAUUAACACUUUCUAAAACUCAUCAUCAAAAAACAAACAACCCAUUUCAAAAACAGGCAGAGGACUUGAAUAGACAUUUCUCCAAAAAAGACAUACAAAUGGCCAAUAGCACAUGAAAGAAAAAUGUCCAGCAUCCCUAAUUCUUAGGGAAAUGCAAAUCAAAACUACAAUGAGAUACAGGUACCACUGCACAUCCGCUAGGAUGGCUACUAUUAAAAAAACAAAAGAUAACAAGAGUUGGCAAGGAUACAAGGAGUUUGGAACCCCUAUGUAUGCACUGUUGUAGGCAUGUAAAUUGGUACAGCCAAUGUAGAAAACAGAACCUUCCUCAACAAAUUAAAAAUAGAAUUACCAUAUGACCCAGCAAUUUCACUUCUGGACAUAUACUCAAAAUAAUUUAAGGCAGAGUCUCAGGAAGAUAUUUGUACACCCAGGUUCAUAGCAGCAUUAUGCAUAAUAGCAAAGAUGAAGAAGCAACUCAAGUGUCCAUUCACAUAUGAAAGGAUAAGCAAGACAUGGUACAUAUAGACAGUCAGCCUUUAAAAAGAGGGAAAUGCUAACAGGCUACAUCACAGAUGAACCUAAGGGACAUUAUGCUAAACGAAAUAAGCCAGUCACAAAAAGACAAAUACUGUAUGAUUCCACUUACAUGGGGUACUUAGGGUAGUCAACAUCAUAGACACAAUGUAGAAUGGUGGUUGCCAGGGAUGGGGGAGAGGAAAGUGGGGAGUUAUUCUUUAAAGGAUACAGAGUUUCACUUUUAGAAGACACAAAGAGUUGUGGAGAUGGAUGAUGACAAUUGUUGCAAAGCAUUAUGAACUGUAGGCUUAAUGGUUAAGAUGGUAAAUUUUAUGUGUAUUUUACAGAGAGAGAGAGAGAACUGGGCACUCGCUCUUGCAUUCUCUUCACUAACAUCCCAAAUGUUCAUUUAUAGAUAGUCGCCCAAAGCGUUUUUCUCCUGGCAGAACAGAAUUCCAGUCUCUGCUCAGGAGUAGCAAUCUGAUUUGGGGAAAUGAUAAACUUUGUAUAAACCAGAGUCCCCCACAACAGCUUUCUCUUCAUAGGCCCAGUACUAAUUUUUUUUUUCAUCCCCUGAGACAAACUAUUUGACUCUGGAUAGUUUUCACAUGAGAUGAUAGAAUUUGAUGUUAAUGUCAUUAAUUCCAUUUUCAUAUGCAAUUUGCUUCUAGGAUUAAUGUCACCAGCCAGGUUCCUAACCUAUGUGGAACACGCAGGGCCAGAAGAGUAUAAAAUUGCAAAAGCUGGUGGCUCCUGAGUCCAAGAGUUCCUGGUUUUCCUGGACACAAGCGAUAGCGCAGCACUUUCUUCCCCAUGUGCCAGAGGCCUGUGGUUCUGCAGAAGAGGACCGGAAACCCCAGACACUGCAAGCCCUGAGCUCAGUAUAUUCUGGGGCCUGUCCUCUCACUUUCUAUUUCUUGUGUGGCCCUCAUACUCGUGCCAGCUAUCCUGGAACAGCCAAGAAUUCAAUUGUGACCUGCUUCCUCCCUCAACCUCUUCUCCCCAACCUCCCCAUCACACUUAUUCUUUGGGAAGAUUUGUAAAAAUUAAGGUUAUUAUAUCCAUGUAACUUUCUGUAUUUCUUUUAAACUCCUUGUGCUACUAAGUCACACGGCUUUGACUCCUGGAUCUAAAAAAGUCACCAACUCUGGCUAAAUCUUAAACAUUGACAGCAAUUGAAGCCUCAUCUUCAGACCUAGGAGAAGAUGAAAAUCAGAGUAAGCUGCAGUCAUGAGACAUGGGUCCAGAAAUUAAAACUCUUCAACCCCUCUAGUCCCAGGGACUAUUGCAGAAGAAGUGGGUGUGUGAGCUUGUAAGGAUCCAUUUCAAGAGAUAAAAUUAGUUCAGAGUUUCUCUAUAAAUUAAACAGUUGCAUUUGUUGUUGUUUUGAGACAGUCCAGUUAUGUCAUCCGAGCUGGAGUGCAGUGUCAUUAUCCUGGCUCACUGCAACCUCUGCCUGGCAAGACUCCUGGCACCUCAGCCUCCCAAGUAGCAGGGACUACGGGGGUGCACCACCAUGCCUGACUAAUUUUUGUAUUUUUAUAGAGACAAGGUUUCACCAUGUUGCCCAAGCUUGUCUCCAACUCCUGAGCUCAAGAUAGCCGCCUGCCUAGGCCUUCCAAAGUGCUGAGUUUACAGGCAUGAGCCACCGUGGCCAGCCUAUAAAUUAAACAUUAAUGUCAAAGGAACACUGAUGCAAGACAAGCAUGUGGGUCCCUGUGUCAGAUUAACAAUGUUUUCUUGGAGCAUUAACACAUUCUUUACUUAAAAAUUAUGAAAGGUUAUGAGAAGGUUUACAAAAAUUAUAUCUUAUUCUCAAGAUGAUGAAAAUUUAAUAGAUUUGUCUGUAAAAUUUAAUUGACUUCAUCCUGUCUUUAUUAGGUUUUAUUGUUUGGGAAAGUAAGUCUCAAAGAGUAAAGUUUUUGACUUUUUGUUUUUAAAAUAUUUGAGUUACCACUUUGACUAAAUGAGUGACUUAUUUUACAAUGACCUGUGAUGCUAUUUUGUGAUAUUGUGUUUUCAACCUUUGAUGUUUGACAAACUUUCCAAACUCUAAAUCUAAAUUCAGUGUUUUGGUCUCAUUAAUUUUUUUGACAUUACAUCCCCUGAAAUCCAAAGAGACAUAUUUGGCUUAUUGCUAUAAUAAAAUCAUCAUUAUCAAAUAUGAAAUGAUGUGUAACCUUCUUUGGCUUGUAUUUGUGUAAAUGUGUUAUUAGUAUGUGUUCCAAAAUUGUAUGAAAUUCUUGUGAUUCUGAUAUGUCUUAGACUAUGUUAUCAGAACUAAUUAUGAUUAUUAUAUUAAACUGUUAUGUGCCAUAGAUAUAA